rnacentral:rRNA from 1 species
AGUUUAUCCUGGCUCAAAACAACGCUGGGGGGUCCUAACACAUCAAGUCGAGCGAGAAAAGGGGGCACCUCCCUGAGACAGCGGCGCACGGGUAGUAACACGUGGGUAAUCUUGCCCUAAGUGGGGAAUAACACCGGGAAACCGGUGCUAAUACCGCAUACGAUCACAGAGUCUGCGGAUUUUGUGAUGAAAGGAGCAAUUCGCUUUAGGAGGAGCCCGCGGCUGAUUAGCUUGUUGGUGAGGUAAUGGCUCACCAAGGCUACGAUCAGUAUCCGGUCUGAGAGGACGGCCGGACACACUGGAACUGAGACACGGUCCAGACUCCUACGGGAGGCAGCAGUGGGGAAUUUUUGGCAAUGGGGGCAACCCUGACCAAGCAACGCCGCGUGGGUGAUGAAGUCUCCUUGGGACGUAAAACCCUUUCAACGGGGAAGAAACCGCAAGGUUGACG